rnacentral:rRNA from 1 species
UACGAACCGUACAAACGUUAUUCGGAAUCACUGGGCUUAAAGGGCGCGUAGGCGGUGCGGUACGGUUUCGGUGAAAUCCCUCGGCCCAACCGAGGAACAGCCGGGGCUACGGCCGCACUAGACGGCAUCAGGGGACAGUGGAACUUCCGGUGGAGCGGUGAAAUGCGUAGAUAUCGGAAGGAACGCCGGUGGCGAAAGCGACUGUCUGGGGUGCCUGUGACGCUGAGGCGCGAAAGCCAGGGGAUCAAACGGG